CCUACGGGAUGCUGCAGUGGGGAAUAUUGGACAAUGGGGGAAACCCUGAUCCAGCGACGCCGCGUGAGUGAAGACGUAUCUCGGUACGUAAAGCUCUAUCAGCAGGAAAGAAAAUGACGGUACCUGACUAAGAAGCCCCGGCUAACUACGUGCCAGCAGCCGCGGUAAUACGUAGGGGGCAAGCGUUAUCCGGAUUUACUGGGUGUAAAGGGGGCGUAGAGGGCAUCGCAAGUCUGGAGUGAAAUGCCGGGGGCCAACCCCGGAACUGCUCUGGAAACUGUGAAGUUGGAGUGCAGGAGAGGUAAGCGGAAUUCGUGGUGUAGCGGUGAAAUGCGUAGAUAUCAGGAGGAACACCGGCGGCGAAGGCGGCUUACUGGACUGUAACUGACGUUGAGGCUCGAAGGCGUGGGGAGCAAACAGGAGUAGAUACCCGGGUAGUC
rnacentral:rRNA from 1 species